rnacentral:rRNA from 1 species
CACGUCCUACGGGGGGCAACAGUGAGGAAUAUUGGUCAAUGGGAGAGAUCCUGAACCAGCCAAGCCGCGUGAGGGAAGACGGCCCUAUGGGUUGUAAACCUCUUUUGUCGGAGAACAAAGCUCGGGACGUGUCCCGGACUGCGUGUAUCCGAAGAAAAAGCAUCGGCUAACUCCGUGCCAGCAGCCACGGUAAUACGGAGGAUGCGAGCGUUAUCCGGAUUUAUUGGGUUUAAAGGGUGCGUAGGCGGUCUGUUAAGUCAGCGGUAAAAUUGCGGGGCUCAACCCCGUCGAGCCGUUGAAACUGG